rnacentral:pre_miRNA from 1 species
UUAACUAAAAUUUGUAUGGAGUUGGAACGUUUGCCUACGUUUGCCGCUAGGGACGUUGCUCUGCAUACAAAUUUGAGAAU